CUUCAGGUGGUUAUAGCACGAGGGUUCCACCUCUUCCCAUUCCGAACAGAGAAGUUAAGCCUCGUCACGCCGAUGGUACUGCGUAACAGUGGGAGAGUAGGUAACCGCCGUUUUUA
rnacentral:rRNA from 1 species